GGCCCUUUUAACUCAGUGGUAG
rnacentral:tRNA from 1 species